rnacentral:lncRNA from 1 species
UACUAUAAAAACGUGGACACACCCAACAUAGACAUUAUUCUUGUAUGAUCAAACAAAAAUUUUCUUCUUGAAACAACACAAAAAUUUUCUUGUUCCAAAGAUGAGCAAAUUAGAGCUGGUAUUUGUGCCUACUCCAGCCGUUAGUCACCUAAUUUCGGUAUGCAAGUUUGCAGAGAAGUUGGUUAAUAGAGAUGAGAGGCUAUGUGCAACAUUUCUAAUUAUAAGGCCACCCCCACCAUUCGAUGCCAGCGUAGAUGCCUACAUCAAGCAAAAGUCCUCUGAUUCCCAGGGCAGUCGAAUUAGAUAUAUCACACUUGCCAAAGCCAAACCGCCACCUUCAGAUGAAAUAGGCAAGUCUAUUGAUAGGUACAUCUCUCUUUAUCUAGCAAAUUGUCGACCCCUCGUUAAGGAAGCAAUUAUCAGCAACAAGAGGCCUGAUUCGAAAAUUAUUGGACUAGUCUUUGAUAUGCUUUGCAGUUCAAUGAUUGAUGUAGCAAAUGAACUUGGCUUUCCUUCUUAUCUUUUCUUGGUUCAAAGUGCUGGUUUUCUUGGUUUCACGUUUUACAUGUCUAUUUGGCGUGACCAAGUCGGGAGAGAAUUUAACCAAUCUGAUGCUGAUGUAAAGAUACCAAUCUUUUCUCAUCCAGUACCCUCAAAAGUCUUGCCUUCAUUUGCAUUCAUCAAGGAAGGUUACGACACAUUCUGCAACCAUGCUGCCAGGUACAAAGAAACCAAAGGAAUUCUCAUCAACACAGUUGCAGAAUUCGAAAGUCACGCUGUCAAUAGUUUAGCAUCUGAUCCUGAACUACCUCCAGUGUACACAGUAGGACUUCUUCUUGACGCUGAGAACCAAAAACCUUCAACACAAGCAGCAGGAUCUCGUCCUGACCUUGAGAACCAAAAAGGUAAGGGCAAUUCUACGUCUGAAGAUGAAGAGAUCAUUAAAUGGCUAGACCAGCAGCCAACUGCCUCUGUUCUUUUUCUGUGCUUUGGAACCCUUGGUGUUUUUCAGCCACCACAGCUAGUCGAGAUGGCAAUUGCACUUGAACGAAGUGGUGUUAGGUUUGUGUGGUCAAUGCGUCUCCCUGCAAAUGCUGAAACUACAAAAUUAAAGGAGAUAUUGCCAGAAGGGUUCUUGUACCUAAUCGAAGUUUAAUUUACCAAUUACCGAAUUAAUGUUUAUAAGUAUGAUAUAUGGUAUUUACGUUCAAAUAUCGAUUAUCGAAUUAUCGAGUCUGAACUUUCAAAAUAUCAAACCGAAUACCAAACGCCCGCCCCUAAUUUCAACAAUAUCGAACCGAAUACCAAACGGUCACCCCUAAUUUGAAUAAUAUCCAAAUCUGUAGCCCUUAAACAUAUUAUUUUUAUUUCUUUUCUCUUUGCCGCUUAUCUCCAUCUCUUUCCUUCUUUGAUUCCGUGUAAUCGGUAAAAAAAAGUUGACCGUUUUCACUCUUAUUCAAUUCUAAAAUACAACCUUUGCUUCAAACUACGGCAAUCAAAUUCAAUUCAAUUACAAUUAAAUUUUUCUUUUCUUAUUCUUAUCACUAAUUAAUUAAAUAAAAUAGUAUAAUGACUCCUUAAUUAAUUAAUUUAAAUAGAAUUGAGGAGAUUUUUCUUUGUCAAGCCUGACCCAGUAGUCAAGAGACAAAAAACUGAGAUAUAUGACUUUGAUGUGACAAUGCAUUAUUAUUUUUUUUAUGUAAAACGUAAUAAAUUAUUAUGUUUUACAAUAUUUUUUGCAAAACGUAAUAAUUUAUUACGGUUUAUAAAAUAUUUUGUAAAACGUAAUAAUUUAUUACAUUUUAUAAAAAAUCAGCUCCGUUAGUUGACCGUUAGAAAAAAGUAAAAAACGUAAUAAUUUAUUACGUUUAGCCUAUUUUGAUUACUUAUUAAAAUUUUGGUCACUUCUUUGAUAACUUGACUUAUUUUGGUUCCGAGUUCUGCAAAUUAUAAGAUUUGAUGAAUUUUUUUUUAAUUUGAUUUUUGGUAGAUAUUUAAGAGAUUCUGUAUCAUCAUUUACUGUCCUAAAAUAAAUGCAAAUAUGUUACUUCCUUAUUUAAUAUGUAUCAAAAAGAAAAAGAAAAAUUCGAAAGAAAUGUAUUUUAAAAAAUAAAAGAUUUUAUGUAUUUAUACAUCUUUAAGUUUAUGUUUUAAUGUAAACUUUCCUUCAUUUUACCACAGUUAUUGUUGGGCUCCUCUAAAGACAACGCCAAAAUCAAAUUAUUACAUGUUGACAUUUUUUGAACGUGCAAAAUAACUAAGCCACCCGAGUCCCUUUGAGGCAUAUAUUUUUACCUUGUGCAUUUGAGGCAUAUAUUCAUUUUACCACAGUAAUUCUUGUUGAAGUGGUGUUGAGCUCGUUUAAAGAUAACGCCAAACCUGUUCUGCAACUAAAAUCACUCCAAAUUUUAGAAAAGGCAGAAGCACUACUAUAAAAACGUGGACACACCCAACAUAGACAUUAUUCUUGUAUGAUCAAACAAAAAUUUUCUUCUUGAAACAACACAAAAAUUUUCUUGUUCCAAAGAUGAGCAAAUUAGAGCUGGUAUUUGUGCCUACUCCAGCCGUUAGUCACCUAAUUUCGGUAUGCAAGUUUGCAGAGAAGUUGGUUAAUAGAGAUGAGAGGCUAUGUGCAACAUUUCUAAUUAUAAGGCCACCCCCACCAUUCGAUGCCAGCGUAGAUGCCUACAUCAAGCAAAAGUCCUCUGAUUCCCAGGGCAGUCGAAUUAGAUAUAUCACACUUGCCAAAGCCAAACCGCCACCUUCAGAUGAAAUAGGCAAGUCUAUUGAUAGGUACAUCUCUCUUUAUCUAGCAAAUUGUCGACCCCUCGUUAAGGAAGCAAUUAUCAGCAACAAGAGGCCUGAUUCGAAAAUUAUUGGACUAGUCUUUGAUAUGCUUUGCAGUUCAAUGAUUGAUGUAGCAAAUGAACUUGGCUUUCCUUCUUAUCUUUUCUUGGUUCAAAGUGCUGGUUUUCUUGGUUUCACGUUUUACAUGUCUAUUUGGCGUGACCAAGUCGGGAGAGAAUUUAACCAAUCUGAUGCUGAUGUAAAGAUACCAAUCUUUUCUCAUCCAGUACCCUCAAAAGUCUUGCCUUCAUUUGCAUUCAUCAAGGAAGGUUACGACACAUUCUGCAACCAUGCUGCCAGGUACAAAGAAACCAAAGGAAUUCUCAUCAACACAGUUGCAGAAUUCGAAAGUCACGCUGUCAAUAGUUUAGCAUCUGAUCCUGAACUAC